GGGGCUGUCUUUGGUUUCGACAGAAAUGUUCCGCUAUAAAUAGCAAGUCGUAGGCAUACGUUAAAUGCACAAAAAAAUAAAUGCAAAAAAUGUAAAAAAUGUAUUAGCUUCAGUAUUCAAGAGAAAUGCUGUAGCCUUUGCCUAAUUUAAUUUAGAGUAAUACAACUUUCUUUAUUACUUUUCCUGUGAGUAAUUUAGAAGGUUCGAUUUAGCAGGAUAUAUUAUUACUGAUCUUCGAAGGAAUAAUGAAAUUUAGAAGAUUACUAAAAAAGAGUUGUUGGCUACUAACUUUUUUAGGACAUUGAUUAGUCAACUAAACUUGUAGAUGUUUAUGGUAGGGUGUUUUUGGACAGGAGUUCAAGUCUCCUCAGCUCCACCA
rnacentral:tmRNA from 1 species